rnacentral:rRNA from 1 species
ACGGAAGGCAGCAGUGGGGAAUAUUGCACAAUGGGGGAAACCCUGAUGCAGCGACGCCGCGUGAGUGAAGAAGUAUUUCGGUAUGUAAAGCUCUAUCAGCAGGGAAGAUAAUGACGGUACCUGACUAAGAAGCACCGGCUAAAUACGUGCCAGCAGCCGCGGUAAUACGUAUGGUGCAAGCGUUAUCCGGAUUUACUGGGUGUAAAGGGUGCGUAGGCGGCAAGGCAAGUCUGAAGUGAAAGCUCGGGGCUCAACCCCGGAACUGCUUUGGAAACUGUUUAGCUAGAGUACAGGAGAGGUAAGUGGAAUUCCUAGUGUAGCGGUGAAAUGCGUAGAUAUUAGGAGGAACACCAGUGGCGAAGGCGACUUACUGGACUGACACUGACGCUGAGGCACGAAAGCGUGGGGAGCAAACAGGAUUAGAUACCCUGGUA